AAUGCACAGCCCCAAACUGGUUUUUAAAAGCCAUUUUCAAAAGCACAUAUCCUUCAGAUUCUAAAACGUCCUCAAAUUGCCCCCUAUUGCUGAAGACCCUUGUUCCCCAUUCUGCCUCACAACCCACACUUUCCCUCUUUGAUCAAGGGCACAUGAACACAGGACAAAGAACGUUCACGGUGACAACUCCCUUGGGACUGCUGUAAGCCACAGAGUGUCACGAUACCUUUAGAAAAUUCCUGACAACAGAGAGAGCAGAUGAAGUAAAGAUACCAGAGCACAGAUCUAUUGGCGGAACUUGGCGCUGGUGAAAUACUCCAUUUGGUACUCUUCAGAAAGCCGACGAUUAUGGGCUUGGCUGCGUGAGGAUGUGACACUUGCAGCUGUGGCAGCCAUUUGUGACAAUGAGGAGAAGGUCAGAGACUGACAGAGAAGCUAAUGCAGUGCCCAGACAUCACUGACUCACUGAUCCAAGCUGCAAACUGUUACUUCUGGAAUAUUUUGAUGUGAUUAAAAUGAACUCAAAGUCCUCUAUUUAAUUCACUUUUGUUGGGGCAUUAUGUUACU